rnacentral:rRNA from 1 species
GGCCUAUUUGAUUAAAAAUAUUAGGUCUACUCUGCCCAUUGAAAAAGAUUAAAAGGCUGCAGUAUUUUGACUGUACUAAGGUAGCAUAAUCAUUUGUUUUUUAAUUGAAAACUGGAAUGAAAGAGUGAAUGAAAUAUAAAUUGUCUCAAUAUAAUUGAUUGAAUUUAAAUUAAAAGUUAAAAUGCUUUUAUAUAUUUAUAAGACGAUAAGACCCUAUAGAAUUUAAUAAAAUUUAUUUUUUAAAAUCAUUAUGUUAAGAAAAGAUCUAAUUAAUAAAUAUAUUUUAUUGGGAGGAUAUUUAAAUUAAAAUAACUUUAAAAUAAUUUAAACAUAAAUAAAUGAGUAAGUAAUUUGAUUAUUAUUAUAAUUAUUAGAAUAAAUUACCUUAGGGAUAACAGCGUAAUAAUUUUGGAGAGUUCAUAUUGAUAAAAUUGUUUGCGACCUCGAUGUUGAAUUAUGAUAAAAUUUAAAUGGAGAGAUUUAAAUUUUUAGUCUGUUCGACUAUUAAAAUCAUACA